AGACUCGACGGCGGGAGAAGUAACGGGAGAGGGUCCCGACGGCAGGGGCAAACACCAGGGCCCAGCCGGAGCCUGUGAAUGGCAAGGACGCCCAGGCCAAGGUAGAGGUGUAGCAGACUGCCGGCAAAAGCCGAGAAGAUGAAGCCGAGUGAGCCCCCGAAAAAGCAAGGAAAGAAUGCCACCCUGCCCAUGGCCACGCAUCUGCCGCCUGCUGCACACGGAGAAGACGCGUGGAUUGCAAUCCCCAGCAAGCUCAAGGUGCCAGUGGAUAUGCUGAAUUGUUUCAGUAAAGAUAAUUCUAUGUGUGAAGUGAACAAGCUACAGCAAAGCGUUAGGAACAGCUGCAGUGGAAAUAUGAGCCACC